rnacentral:rRNA from 1 species
CUAGGGAUUAGAUACCCUAUUAUUAAAAAUGUUAACUCUUAAGUCCAGAUUAGUAUUAGUUAUUGUCUUGAAAAUUAAAAAUUUUGGCGGUAUUUUAUUCCACUCAGAGGAACCUGUCUUUUAAUCGAUGACCCACGAUUUUAUUUACUUUUUUUUAGUUUACAUAUCGUCGUGUUUUGAAUAUUUUUAAAAAACAAUAAUAUUCAUAAUUUUUUUUAGUAAGAAAAUCAGAUCAAGGUGUAGCGUAUAAAAAAGAUAAUGAUGGGUUACAUUAUUUAUAUUUAAGAGAUUGCUGUUUUAUAAUUGGCAUGAAUGCGGAUUUGAUUGUAAUUUUAUUUAAUUAAUUAGGAUGAUUAUUGGCUCUAAAAUAUGCACACAUGGCCCGGUCGCU